rnacentral:rRNA from 1 species
AGAGUUUGAUCCUGGCUCAGGACGAACGCUGGCGGUGUGCUUCACACAUGCAAGUCGAACGGAGUAGCAAUACUCAGUGGCGGACGGGUGAGUAACACGUGGGAAUCUACCAUUAGGUGGGGAAUAACAGGCCGGAAGGACUGCUAAUGCCGCAUAUGUAGGCAUCUCGACAGAGAUGUUUAUGAAAGGAGUAAUCCGCCUUUUGAUGAGCCCGCGUCCGAUUAGCUAGUUGGUAGGGUAAAAGCCUACCAAGGCGACGAUCGGUAGGUGGUCUGAGAGGAUGAUCAUCCACAAUGGGACUGAGACACGGCCCAUACUCCUACGGGAGGCAGCAGUGGGGAAUUUUACGCAAUGGGGGAAACCCUGACGUAGCGACACCGCGUGAGCGAAGAAGCCCUUUGGGGUGUAAAGCUCUGUCAACAGGAACGAAACAAAUGACGGUACCUGUGGAGGAAGCAUCGGCUAACUACGUGCCAGCAGCCGCGGUAAGACGUAGGAUGCAAGCGUUGUCCGGAUUUAUUGGGCGUAAAGAGUUCGUAGGCGGUUUGUUAAGUCUGAUGUUAAAGACCGGGGCUCAACCUCGGAAAUGCAUUGGAUACUGGCAGACUGGAGUGCAGUAGAGGCUAGUGGAAUUCCCAGUGUAGCGGUGAAAUGCGUAGA